CCGAAUACACAAACCUUUUUUGUUAGUCUUAACAAUCUCUGCUAGCUAACAGAAAAUCACUAAAAGUAAUGCACCAAUGCUUAACUAGCAAAUGUUAGCUAGUAAACAGUUUGUUUGUCAAGUCCCGCUAAACAAUGCUGAAGUUAGCAGCUUAUGAACAUGUAAAUGGGCAUAUUAUUAAAAAUUGCACACAUAAAACAGUGUUAUUAAUGCAGUUGUUCAAAAUUUAUUAAUAUAGUAUCAUGAUAGCACAUAAAUAACGUAUAUAAUGUUUUUUUAGGAGUACUUAUUAACCAACGACAGAUAUUUUUGGACGAAAGCGCAUCGCGCCGUAUGUUUGUAGACAGUGUGCAGGCGGCCGCGCCACAGACAAAUCUUCCUACAGAAGACUCAGCAAUUACUUCAGAGGAUAUAGACAUGGCAGAAGAACCACAGAAAAAGAAAAGGAAGCCAAACUGGUCACAAGAGGAAACACUCCUCUUGGCCAACGUGAUAAUGGAGAAAACAAUUGAUUAUAAAUGGGCGAUUUAAACCAAGUUUAAGCCACAAGGACAAGAGGGAGGCAUGGCAAAGCAUAACUGAUGCCAUUAAUGGAACAAAUCCACUGACUAAGCGGACUGUAGAAAAAGUUGAAACCAAAUGGUUUUCUGUGCUCUCAAAAUCGAGGAAGAAAAUUGUGGCAAUAAAGGCUGAAUAUAACCAAUCAGGUGCUGGUGGCCCCCAAGCUCCUCCACUUGACCCAGUAGACAUGAAAGUUGAGGAAUUAUUAGGGGAGAAGAAUGCAACUGUGAUGGGUGUGAUUCAGAAUGAUCUCGGUUUUCAUACGUUGAGGAAGCUGCAGACCCCAGCAACGGCAGGAAGACACUGAAGAGUUGGGAGAAGAACCACCCCAGCAACAGGUAGAGGAUGAUAGUGAACUCCCUCAGCUUCAUUGGCAAAGUGUCCAAGUCCAGCCCCAACCACAACAAUCUUCGCACAAGGCCCACCACUUAGAACUCUUGGAGGAUGGCUCCUUUAUAGAAUGCACCAUCACUGAACCUGAAACCUCUGCGGCCCCAACCAAGCAUAUCAACACCAAAACUAAGAAAGUGUUCAAGUGUCAGUGAUGAGUAUGAACAAUACAAAGCUGAAAAAACGCAAAUUAAAACUUGAAAAGGAAAAGUUAAAAAUUGAAAAAAAGGAAAGUAAAAUUGUUAGCAUUGAAGGGAAACAUUGAACUUAAACAGAAGUUAAUGAUGGCUGAAAUUGAAUAUUACCAGUCUUUGACAGCAAAAAAUAUGAAAAAUUAAUAAGUGAAUUGUAUAGGCUUCAUUUUUGGUACAGUAGAAAUUUAUGCUGAGGAAAUAAAAAUAUAUUAUUUUAUUUAUUAAGAUUUUACAGUAUAUUGCAGUAUUAUUAACAAGAUUGAAUCUCAUGAAGAUUGUCCACCCCAGAGUACCCAACUGAAAAUUGUCCACCUCAGCUGCUCUCGGCAUCCAACACCAAAGUUUAGGUUAGGUUAGGUUAGGGAAUGGUCGGGUCAGCUGAAGAUUGUCCACCCCCAGUCUCGCUCUCAUGAAGAUUGUCCACCCUAACAUGCUUGGGGUGAACAAUCUUCAUGAGAUCCAUAAGGUUAUAUACUGUAGCAUGUAUGUAAAGGAAAAAAAUACAAAUUAUAUUAUUUUAUAAAC